CCAGGUUGAUUCUGCCUGACGUAGACGCUAUACUCUAAGAUUAACCCAUGCAUGUUUAUUGAAUAUAAAGAAAAGACGAACAGCUCAGUAACUCUUAUUUGAUUUGAUGUAUUAGGAUUCUAACUAUGUUAAAUUAUAGGUAACAAUAAUACAAUAAGAAUAAGAUCUAUCAGUUAGUUGUUAAGGUAAUGGCUUAACAAGACUAUGACGGAUAACGGUAUUACUUUGUAAUAUUCCGGAGAAGGAGCCUGAGAGAUUGCUACUAAGUCUAAGGAUUGCAGCAGGGGCGAAACUUGACCUAUGAUAUUAUAUUGAGGCAGUUAUGAGUAGUAUUUUAUAAUUAUUGUAGUAUUGUAAGUACAUAUUACAAGAUAAAUCGGAGGGCAAAUCGAGUGCCAGCAGCCGCGGUAAUACUUGUUCCGAUAGUGUGUAUGAUGAUUGAUGCAGUUAAAAAGUCUGUAGUUUAUUUUAUAAUAAGCAUUGUAAGGUAUACUGUAUGGUUAGGAGAGAGAUGAAAUGUGAUAACCCUAACUGGAUGAACAGAAGCGAAAGCUGUAUACUUAAAUGUAUUAUUAGAACAAGGACGUAAGCUAGAGGAUCGAAGAUGAUUAGAUACCAUUGUAGUUCUAGCAGUAAACUAUGUUGAAUCAUAGAUAUAUUUUUUGAUAUAUAUUUAUGUAGAGAAAUUAAGAUUAUAUUGACUCUGGGGAUAGUAUGAUCGCAAGAUUGAAAAUUAAAGAAAUUGACGGAAGAAUACCACAAGGAGUGGAUUGUGCGGCUUAAUUUGACUCAACGCGGGGUAAUUUACCAGGUAUAACAUGAUAUAAUAUUUUAUCAUGAUAGUGGUGCAUGGCCGUUUCCAAUGGAUGCUGUGAAGUAAUGAUUAAUUUCAACAAGAUGUGAGACCCUCAUUUAGACAGAUGUAGUGAUACAUAUGAAGGAGAGGAUUAAAACAGGUCCGUUAUGCCCUAAGAUAAUCUGGGUUGCACGCGCAAUACAAUAAUAUUUGAUAUUAUAAGGGAUAAUAUAAUGUAAGAUAUAUUUGAACAUGGAAUUGCUAGUAAAUUUUAU
rnacentral:rRNA from 1 species